rnacentral:rRNA from 1 species
CCUGGCGACCAUAGAGCACUGGAACCACCUGAUCCAUUCCGAACUCAGUAGUGAAACGGUGCAUCGCCGAUGGUAGUGUGGGGAUUCCCCAUGUGAGAGUAGGUCAUCGCCAGGC